CCUGAGAAACCCAAAAGAUCGAAUGGGGAGAUUCAUCGUCAGCGGCUUUGGCUUCCGUGCGGUACGCGAUGGCGGGGACCUCGGUCUCGCGUCACGCUGCCGCUGCGGCAUGUCCGGAGUCGUCGGCGUGCACUUCUCCCCUAGUAGGACGUCGCGACCCGUUGGGUGUCGGAUCGAUGGCCGGUCGGUCGUCUGUUGCGCUCGCGCUUCAGACCGAUUCGGUCGAAAGUCCGGCUGCCCGGCGGUAUUGAACGAUAUGAACUGGUAUCGGGCCGCACUCGAAUGCGUUCAGGCUCGUCGGCAGGCUCGUCUCGCUCGGAUUUACGGACCUAGCGCCGUUGCCGGGCGCUUGGCGUUGGCUGUUAGUCGACAAUGUUCCUCGGACUGGCUCUUACCCGUCGGCGAACGCUACUGCUUUGGUUACUUUC
rnacentral:rRNA from 1 species